rnacentral:rRNA from 1 species
UCCGUAGGCGGUGUGGCAAGUCGGAAGUGAAAUCUCUGGGCUUAACUCAGAGGCUGCUUCCGAAACUGCCGUGCUAGAGUGCGAGAGAGGCAAGUGGAAUUGCGGGUGUAGCGGUGAAAUGCGUAGAUAUCCGCAGGAACAUCCGAGGCGAAAGCGGCUUGCUGGAUCGCAACUGACGCUGAGGGACGAAAGCUAGGGGAGCAAACAGGAUUAGAUACCCUGGUAGUCCUAGCCCUAAACCAUCAGGACUUGGGGUUUGCCCUGUACGGGGCAAGUCCCGUAGCUAACGCGUUAAGUCUUGCGCCUGGGGAGUACGGUCGCAAGGCUGAA